rnacentral:rRNA from 1 species
AGGUUUCCGUAGGUGAACCUGCGGAAGGAUCAUUACUGAAUUUAAUUCCGGGGUUGUAGCUGGCCAUGAAUUUGGCAUGUGCACACCCUGGUGAAUCCAAUUCUUUACACCUUUGUGCACCAUUCAUGGGAUUGAUGAGUCUACUUUGGCGCCAGCGCUGGUAGUAUCGUUUUUCUCAUGCUUCAUAUAUAACACCUUUCAGUACAGAAUGUUUAUUGCGUUUGACGCAUCUUAAUACAACUUUCAGCAACGGAUCUCUUGGCUCUCGCAUCGAUGAAGAACGCAGCGAAAUGCGAUAAGUAAUGUGAAUUGCAGAAUUCAGUGAAUCAUCGAAUCUUUGAACGCACCUUGCGCUCCUUGGUAUUCCGAGGAGCAUGCCUGUUUGAGUGUCAUGGUAUUCUCAAUCCAUUUGGUUCUGUGAAAAGAAUUAAAUGGACUUGGAUGUGGAGGACUGUGCUGGUCUUGUUUUUGAUCAGCUCCUCUGAAAUGUAUCAGCAUGAUUAAUUGCUGCCUUCGGUGUGAUAAUUAUCUACGCCGUAUGGUUUAGCUUUACUAUAAUUUAUGCUUCUAAUCGUCCACUUUGUUGGACAAUUCUAUUGACAUCUGACCUCAAAUCAGGUAGGACUACCCGCUGAACUUAAGCAUAUCAAUAAGCGGAGGAAAAGAAACUAACAAGGAUUCCCCUAGUAACUGCGAGUGAAGCGGGAAAAGCUCAAAUUUAAAAUCUGGCUGCCUUUGGCUGUCCGAAUUGUAGUCUGGAGAAGUGCUUUCCGCGCUGGACCGUGUAAAAGUCUCUUGGAAUAGAGCGUCAUAGAGGGUGAGAAUCCCGUCUUUGACACGGACAACCAGUGCUUUGUGAUGCGCUCUCAAAGAGUCGAGUUGUUUGGGAAUGCAGCUCAAAAUGGGUGGUAAAUUCCAUCUAAAGCUAAAUAUUGGCGAGAGACCGAUAGCGAACAAGUACCGUGAGGGAAAGAUGAAAAGCACUUUGGAAAGAGAGUUAAACAGUACGUGAAAUUGCUGAAAGGGAAACGCUUGAAGUCAGUCGCGUUGUCCAGAACUCAGCCCGGCUUUUGCUUGGUGCAUUUUCUGGUUGACGGGCCAGCAUCAAUUUUGAUUGUUGGAUAAAGGCUUUGGGAAUGUGGCAUCUUCGGAUGUGUUAUAGCCCUUGGUUGCAUACAACAGUCGGGAUUGAGGAUCUCAGCAUGCCUUUAUGGUCGGGGUUCGCCCACGUUCAUGCUUAGGAUGCUGGCGUAAUGGCUUUAAACGACCCGUCUUGAAACACGGACCAAGGAGUCUAACAUGCCUGCGAGUGUUUGGGUGGAAAACCCGAGCGCGUAAUGAAAGUGAAAGUUGGGAUCCCUGUCAUGGGGAGCACCGACGCCCAGACCAGACCUUCUGUGACGGAUCUGCGGUAGAGCAUGUAUGUUGGGACCCGAAAGAUGGUGAACUAUGCCUGAAUAGGGUGAAGCCAGAGGAAACUCUGGUGGAGGCUCGUAGCGAUUCUGACGUGCAAAUCGAUCGUCAAAUUUGGGUAUAGGGGCGAAAGACUAAUCGAACCAUCUAGUAGCUGGUUCCUGCCGAAGUUUCCCUCAGGAUAGCAGAAACUCAUAUCAGAUUUAUGUGGUAAAGCGAAUGAUUAGAGGCCUUGGGGUUGAAACAACCUUAACCUAUUCUCAAACUUUAAAUAUGUAAGAACGAGCCGUCACUUGAUUGGACCGCUCGGCGAUUGAGAGUUUCUAGUGGGCCAUUUUUGGUAAGCAGAACUGGCGAUGCGGGAUGAACCGAACGCGAGGUUAAGGUGCCGGAAUUUACGCUCAUCAGACACCACAAAAGGUGUUAGUUCAUCUAGACAGCAGGACGGUGGCCAUGGAAGUCGGAGUCCGCUAAG